GGCAGGAAAGGGAAAGGGACUGAUAAAGCUUGCAUUACUGAAGGUACCAUUGGGGGAAACUGGGCCUCAAUCCCAGCACUAUUGGCCUGCUCCUUUCAUGUCUCUGGGCUUCCAGAGAAAUCCUCCAGGCAAAGGAUUGCAGGGUAUGGAAGCUGCAGGUAUGCACAGGAAUAGCGAAUGGUAAGGGGUCGUGGGAGGGACUCAGUGCCUGCUACCAUCAUUACACAAAAAAUUAGAGGAAAAUCUGAAGAACUAGGCCCCAGAAAGAAUUGGGCUCAAAAAGCCUAGAGUCAUGUGUCCACUUUCUGGCCAGGGAAGGUAGGACAUUUUGAUGGACAGUCCCCCAAAGAUUGUAUCCAAUGGGGGUGAGUAGGUCUCCAAAGCAGACUUGGGAUCCUAUUACCAAAAGGAGGAAUAUUAUUGGUGAGACAAAAUCCACAGAUGUCACUAAACCUUCCUCACAUGCUGAUCUCUCACCUGCAGGAUGAAUUCACUCACAGGAGCCCAGGGCUUCAUAAGGCUGGACCAAUAAGGGCCUCUGAUGUCUCAGGCUACCACGUGUGGUUGUGUGGAAUGUGUUCUGUUCAUCUCCAAGGGGUGCCCUUCGCAUUAUAUUCCAUGGGCACUGAAGAGUGCACUGAAUUGGAAUGGUGGCAGAUGCUGUAUUAGCCAGGAUCUCAGCAGAAAACAGAUGGUUUACUCAACACGGUCACUGAAGAGUUUAAUGGAUUGUUUACAAAAGUGCUGGCGAGGCUAAGGUAACAAACAAGCAAUGGCUAGCACUCAGGGACUAGGGAUGUGGGAGAGCAUUACUACCCUGAGGCCCAAGGAGCAACAUACCAGCUGCAGCUGUGGGAGAGAGAUGGCCCGACAGGAAUCUAGGUGGGAGAGCGCAGCCAUUGCCUACCUGUGGUCUGGCAGAGAGGGAGCAGGACAGUACAUACCCUGACAUCUCUCUCAACCUGCUCUCACAUUCUUUCCACUGCCUCCCAUUAGCAGAACAGGACUGGAGGGCAGAGAGAUUAGCAUUCUGCAGAGGUCAAACUCCCAGCGCAAAAAGCAGGAUGAAAAUCUAUGGACCUUGGAUCCGAAGGAGCAGAUGGAAAACAACCAGCCCACGUGAUUGUGCCGAAGGGGAAAAGACAAAAGAAACCAGCACAUUAAGAAACGAGCACAUUUUCAAAAUACUGUACUAUUCCCAUUACAUAUCUAUUGGACUUUUCA